rnacentral:rRNA from 1 species
UACGUAGGGGGCUAGCGUUGCUCGGAAUCACUGGGCGUAAAGCGCACGUAGGCGGGUUGUUAAGUCGGGGGUGAAAUCCUGGAGCUCAACUCCAGAACUGCCUUCGAUACUGGCGACCUUGAGUCCGGGAGAGGUGAGUGGAACUCCGAGUGUAGAGGUGAAAUUCGUAGAUAUUCGGAAGAACACCAGUGGCGAAGGCGGCUCACUGGCCCGGUACUGACGCUGAGGUGCGAAAGCGUGGGGAGCAAACAGG